rnacentral:sRNA from 1 species
ACAGGUGGUAUCCCGAAGCCUAAUGAGCACCGCGAUCGGCGGGUCCCUGGAGUGCCGGGCGGCGGUGUCCGUCGCCUUCGCUGAAGUGGAGCGGCGGCUGCGCUCGGGUGGGGCGGCUCAAGCAGCGUUGCAGACGGAGCUGAGCGCUUGCGGGCCCCUGGGCCGCGCUGAAAACCAGGCGGAGCUGUUGGGGGCGCUGCAGGCACUGGUGGGAGGUGUAGUGCAGUAUGAUGGGCAGACGGGAGCGCCGCUAAGCGUGCGACAGCUCUGCGGACUUCUCCUCGGGGGCGGGGGCAACCGCAGCCACUCCACGCCCUACUGCGGGCUUCGUCGGGCGGUGCAGGUGAGCACUCCCUGGCACAGCUGGGAGGAGUUAGCGGACAAAGAUUCCUGCCCCACUUCCGUUGUGUGAUCUUGGGCAAGCGAGAACCUUCUCUGAAACUUCGUUUUCUCAUCUGUAAAAUGGGGAUAACACUUCACAGGGCAGAUGGGAAGAUGAAAUGAGGCGGGUCAUGUAGAGCAAUCAGCUGGGAGCCUGGCACACAGUGUGCGAAUGUUAGAGACUGCGAUUAU